rnacentral:rRNA from 1 species
UACAUGGGGUGCAAACGUUGCUCGGAAUUAUUGGGCGUAAAGCGCACGUAGGCGGUUUGUUAAGUCGGAUGUGAAAUCCCUCGGCUCAACUGAGGAAGUGCAUCCGAAACUGGCAGGCUUGAGUACUAAAGAGGGUCGCGGAAUUCCCGGUGUAGAGGUGAAAUUCGUAGAUAUUCGCAGGAACACCAGUGGCGAAGGCGGCUUACUGGUCCAUAACUGACACUGAGGCACGAAAGCUAGGGGAGCAAACAGG